CCACCUGAUCCCUUCCCGAACUCAGAAGUGAAACGAUGCAUCGCCGAUGGUAGUGUGGGGCUUCCCCAUGUGAGAGUAGGUCAUCGUCAAGC
rnacentral:rRNA from 2 species